UUGUCAGUUACUUUCUGCGCAUUUUACAAAAGAAGUAGUCCAGAAUGGACAACAAUCGUUCUAAUCAAUUGAAUUCUAACAAUCCUUCCUACUGGCAAAGUCGUGGAUUUGACGACAAACCUUCGGACACUGACAGGUCAGCCUAUUACUGCAGCCACCCAACACCUGACUAUUCCAAAGCUGACAUGGACAACAGAUCCAAUCAGCUUAAUCCAAAUAACCCUACAUAUCACAGCUCUAGGGGAGAUUCUAAGAAAUAAACAUUAAAAAUGCUGAUUUCUUCAAUACAAAUCAUUAAAGGAAUAUUUGCUUUUACAAAUUAAUGUAAACAAUAUUUUAUCUAUUACUUUAUUUUUUGUUAUUUGGGAAAAACAAUAUUUCAGCGAUAUUUAUCAUCUUGUACCAGAUUUUUAUGAAGCUAUGUAAUUAUGUAGGUACAUACCUAAAUGAACGUUAAAUAAGCAUAUUUACAAAAAUGUUGACAUUUUUGUGCAUUGAUGGUGGUAAUCAGUGUAGUAUGGGAAACAAUCUGAAGAAUUACAUGGCUUGAUAAAAAACUGGUAUAAGACGAUAAAUAUCGCUAAGUGGGUACCUAUAUAUUUUUCAAUUUGUACGUAAUUCAAAAAAUUAGGUGCAUGUGUUGUUCAAAUUAACAAGUAUGUAAGUAAAUGUAAAUAUCCUUUCAAUGAAUAAAAUUUAUACUGAAA